UACGGAGGAUCCAAGCGUUAUCCGGAAUCAUUGGGUUUAAAGGGUCCGUAGGCGGUUUGGUAAGUCAGUGGUGAAAGCCCAUCGCUCAACGGUGGAACGGCCAUUGAUACUGCCAGACUUGAAUUAUUAGGAAGUAACUAGAAUAUGUAGUGUAGCGGUGAAAUGCUUAGAGAUUACAUGGAAUACCAAUUGCGAAGGCAGGUUACUACUAAUGGAUUGACGCUGAUGGACGAAAGCGUGGGGUAGCGAAACAGG
rnacentral:rRNA from 1 species